AUUGCAUUUUCUAAGGUUCAUUUGAAGCAAUAUUUUUGUUUAGAAAUGUCAUCAAAAAUUGUUAUAUUUGUUUUAAUCGCUUCUAUGGCAAAUGCUGCUCAAUAUAGGCAGAGACUGCCCGAAAAACCUCCGCAAUUCAAAAAUAUACCUGGCUGUUACAUACCUGAGAGAAAUGAGGUGAUUCCUUUCGGAGCAGUCGUAAGCAAUAAGGGAUGCAUCCUCAUACAAUGUACAGUGGACUCCUUUGAAUAUACUACAUGCCCAAUAGCACAAACCCGUGAUCCCAAAUGCCGCGUGUAUCAUCCUUUUGGCACAUCGACCUACCCAGACUGCUGCCCUCAACUCAUGUGUGAUGUAUCGUAAAUACUUUGAUGUUU